rnacentral:misc_RNA from 1 species
AAAACAAAUAAGACUUUUUUGUCUUAGGGUAUAGAAAUUUGUAAAGGAAAUAGGAAUACCCAAUAUAUUGGUUUUUCCGACCAUUAUAUUGGGUAAGGAGAGAAAAAUACCCGGGGGUCUCUAAAACCCCUCGAUUGGGUAGGUCUCUAAAAUCUCUUUACUUUAUUGGAUAAGCAUACUCAGUUGGUCUAAAAACCCAAUAUGGUAAGUAAAGAAAAGUAAUUGAUCUAGAAAAGUUAAGCAAUAUGGAGUUAAGCAAUAUGGUAAGGAAAGAGAAAUACUCAAUAUAUGGGUCUUAAAAAUCCAUGGGUAUUUCUCUUUUUUUUUUUGCUUCGUUUGCUCUCUAUUUUUUUUUCUUCUUCAUUACAGAUUUAUUAUCGUUAUCGUUUCUUGCAUCUCUCGCGAAAUUCCGGGUAGGCNACGAAUUCUCCCAAUUUGUGACCUAUCAUAGAAUCCAUUAUAUAAAUAGGUAAAUGUUCCUUUCCAUUAUGAAUACCGAUUGUAUGGCCAACCAUUGAGGGUAUAAUGGUAGAUGCCCGAGACCAAGUGACUAUUAUUUCUUUCUCCUCCCCCAUUUUGAUUUUUUGAAUUUUUUCCGAUAAAUGCUUAGCUACAAAUCUUUUUUCUUGACGUAUCACAGCUGAUUACUCCUUUUUUUCCAUGUUAAAGAUUGGCAUUCUAUGUCCAAUAUCUUGAUCUAAGUAUGGAGGUCAG